CAUACAGAGUCGCCGUUUAACUUAAAAUAUCUUCGUGAUCGGCAAACACAUCAAACAGCAUGUUUUUUUUCAACAGCACGCACCAUCGGUGGAGCAAGCAGCUAACGUUUUGUUCGCCCAGCACGCACCAUCAAGUAUUGAAAUGUUUUCAAAUAGCUUUGUGAAUAAAAAACUGCACACUUACUGUCG